UGCGACAAUGAAUGUGUGGCAGC
rnacentral:siRNA from 1 species